rnacentral:lncRNA from 1 species
UCACCAAGGAGAAGCAAGAAAAAGGAAGAACAAAACCCUAGGUGGAAAAAUUCAAGGGAAAAGUGUGAAAGUUCAAGGAAACAAGUGAAAAAGGAAAGAUUUUUUCAAUUUAAGCUUGAGAUCUCUCUUUCUUAAGCAUUUUUUCUUAUUUUCCAUGGUUGAAUCACAUGAAAUCAUGAUGAAUCCCUUGCUGGCCGAACCCUUAGAGGGAGGUUUUGAUGCUUGAUUUGGUUAGAUUUCAAUGUAUUUUAGUGUUUUUAGUUAGUUAAUGAUGUGUAGCAUGAAAAGCCAACAAGAAAAAUUCACUUCUUCCCAUCACCCAUCAUUGGCCGAAUCUUCUAUGUAAAGUGUGGAUGGUGGAUUUGAUUUUAUUUCAAGUGAAUUGGUUAGGAAAUGAUGAAUUACGGUGAGAAAAUCAAGUACGAAAAAUCAUAGUAUUGAUGCACCCACCAUGUCCGAAAUUCCCAAGAGAAAAUGUGAAGAUGAUUUUGCUAAAUUUUAUGCUAUUUGACUUGUGUUUAAUGGUUUGGAGAAUUGGAAGAAAAAUGGAGUUAAUUGGAGUUGAAUUUGACAUAUUGGCCAAUUAAUCGAGUGAUAGAUCGAAUUAGGCCAAUACCAUUUUAUUUAGGUACAUAAUUGAAUUUGUGUAGAACACCGUGUUUUGACGAUAAUCCGAACAAUUUGCAUUCCAUUUCAUGUAGCCAUAUAGUUUUAUAAUGAUUUAGCACCAAUGUGGUAAAUUGCUUGAUUGUGCAUUAUGUCUAGGUGGUGAAUCCUCCAAUAAGGGCAAAGAAAUUGUACUCGAGGAUCAAUAGUUGGUGUACUUUAAAAAUUUGACUCCCGAAAUAAUGAUUAACCUUAUCAUCAUUUUAAUUAUCUAAAGUGAUUUUUUAUUUGAUUUUGUGAAUUUUAUGAAAAAUGAGUUUAAAUGGUUAAUUUUUAGGUUUUAUAAACAAAAUGUGUUUAAAUGAAAUGAUUUUAUAAAUUGUUUUGAAAUUGAAUGAUGGCUUUGAAAAUAAAGUAAUUGGAG